GGUCUUGUAGUCAAAAAAUGAUUUUAAAUUGCAAAUUUAAAGGUGGAUUAAUCCUAAGGCUU
rnacentral:tRNA from 1 species